rnacentral:misc_RNA from 1 species
UCACCGUAUCAAGCUUGGCUUGUGGUUGGGCCCUGUCACCGGGUGACAGGUCCAAAAGACAAUGACCGGUGUCAUAUCGACUCUAUAUGCAACGAGCUGAUCACAGCACGCAUCUGGCAGUCGUGUGGCCCGGUCUGCACCCCCUUUUUUCUCAA